rnacentral:rRNA from 1 species
GGGGAAUAUUGGACAAUGGGCGCAAGCCUGAUCCAGCCAUGCCGCGUGAGUGAUGAAGGCCUUAGGGUUGUAAAGCUCUUUCGCCGACGAAGAUAAUGACGGUAGUCGGAGAAGAAGCCCCGGCUAACUUCGUGCCAGCAGCCGCGGUAAUACGAAGGGGGCUAGCGUUGCUCGGAAUCACUGGGCGUAAAGCGCGCGUAGGCGGAUCUUUAAGUCAGGGGUGAAAUCCCGAGGCUCAACCUCGGAACUGCCUUUGAUACUGGGGAUCUUGAGUCCGGAAGAGGUGAGUGGAACUGCGAGUGUAGAGGUGAAAUUCGUAGAUAUUCGCAAGAACACCAGUGGCGAAGGCGGCUCACUGGUCCGGUACUGACGCUGAGGUGCGAAAGCGUGGGGAGCAAAC